ensembl:lncRNA
UAGGUACUGAUGCUUUACAUAUGUGUGCCAAUUUUCGUGCAUGUACGUGAAACACAGCUGGAGGGCUGUUGAUUUUUUUACGAUAGGUGGCGCUGUUGAGCCAUUUUGCCACACCCUCUUCUGAAACCUAUAUCAGACGUAAAUUUUCACCAGGUCUGACGCGUGUGCAAAGUUUCAUGACUUUUCGAGCAUGUUUAGGCCCUCAAAAAUGCGAUUCAUUUUGGAGAAGAAGAAGAAGAAGAAGAAGAAGAAGAAGAAGAAUAAUAAUAAUAAUAAACAAAGCAGAUACAAGAGGGUCCUCACACCAUCGGU